AACGCUAGCUACAGGCUUAACACAUGCAAGUCGAGGGGCAGCGCAGUGUAGCAAUACAUGGGCGGCGACCGGCGCACGGGUGCGUAACGCGUAUCCAACCUUCCCGUUACUCAGGGAUAGCCUUCCGAAAGGGAGAUUAAUACCUGAUGGUGUUCAAAUUCCGCAUGUUAUUUGAACUAAAGAUUUAUCGGUAACGGAUGGGGAUGCGUGACAUUAGGUAGAUGGCGGGGUAACGGCCCACCAUGCCUACGAUGUCUAGGGGUUCUGAGAGGAAGGUCCCCCACACUGGAACUGAGACACGGUCCAGACUCCUACGGGAGGCAGCAGUGAGGAAUAUUGGUCAAUGGUCGGAAGACUGAACCAGCCAAGUAGCGUGAAGGAUGAAGGUUCUAUGGAUUGUAAACUUCUUUUAUACGGGAAUAAAACCUCCCACGUGUGGGAGCUUGUAUGUACCGUAUGAAUAAGCAUCGGCUAACUCCGUGCCAGCAGCCGCGGUAAUACGGAGGAUGCGAGCGUUAUCCGGAUUUAUUGGGUUUAAAGGGAGCGUAGACGGGGGAUUAAGUCAGUUGUGAAAGGCUGCGGCUCAACCGCAGCACUGCAGUUGAUACUGGUUCCCUUGAGUGCGGUUGAGGUGUAUGGAAUUCGUGGUGUAGCGGUGAAAUGCUUAGAUAUCACGAAGAACUCCGAUUG
rnacentral:rRNA from 1 species